rnacentral:rRNA from 1 species
GACGAACGCUGGCGGCGUGCUUAACACAUGCAAGUCGAACGGAAAGGCCCUGCUUUUGUGGGGUGCUCGAGUGGCGAACGGGUGAGUAACACGUGAGUAACCUGCCCUUGACUUUGGGAUAACUUCAGGAAACUGGGGCUAAUACCGGAUAGGAGCUCCUGCUGCAUGGUGGGGGUUGGAAAGUUUCGGCGGUUGGGGAUGGACUCGCGGCUUAUCAGCUUGUUGGUGGGGUAGUGGCUUACCAAAGCUUUGACGGGUAGCCGGCCUGAGAGGGUGACCGGCCACAUUGGGACUGAGAUACGGCCCAGACUCCUACGGGAGGCAGCAGUGGGGAAUAUUGCACAAUGGGCGGAAGCCUGAUGCAGCAACGCCGCGUGCGGGAUGACGGCCUUCGGGUUGUAAACCGCUUCCGCCUGUGACGAAGCGUGAGUGACGGUAAUGGGUAAAGAAGCACCGGCUAACUACGUG